ensembl:snoRNA
UUGGCCCUGAAUCAAGGCCAGCAGUUUGCUGAAUCUGUUGUUUUCAAGCAGGAGCCUAAAGAAUUGUCUUUCUCUGGUCUGUUGGCCAUUUCAGAACUUUAGAAAUGUAACGGUCCAUUCAUUAGAAAGAAACAUCU